AUUGAACGCUGGCGGCAGGCCUAACACAUGCAAGUCGAGCGGAUGAAGGGAGCUUGCUCCUGGAUUCAGCGGCGGACGGGUGAGUAAUGCCUAGGAAUCUGCCUGGUCGUGGGGGAUAACGUCCGGAAACGGGCGCUAAUACCGCAUCCGUCCUGAGGGAGAAAGUGGGGGAUCUUCGGACCUCACGCUAUCAGAUGAGCCUAGGUCGGAUUAGCUAGUUGGUGGGGUAAAGGCCUACCAAGGCGACGAUCCGUAACUGGUCUGAGAGGAUGAUCAGUCACACUGGAACUGAGACACGGUCCAGACUCCUACGGGAGGCAGCAGUGGGGAAUAUUGGACAAUGGGCGAAAGCCUGAUCCAGCCAUGCCGCGUGUGUGAAGAAGGUCUUCGGAUUGUAAAGCACUUUAAGUUGGGAGGAAGGACAGUAAGUUAAUACCUUGCUGUUUUGACGUUACCAACAGAAUAAGCACCGGCUAACUUCGUG
rnacentral:rRNA from 1 species